UAAAAAUUUUAAAAGCAUGAAUAGAGCAAACGUCAUUGCAACCUUAGUAACUGUAUCGGCAGUUAUUCAACAAGGUUUAUCUGAUCCGGCCAUAGCCUUCAGUGCGGUUUUAAGCACCAAUACUCACUUGGGCAACGACGAUGCAAUAAAAUAUGACAAUGUUCUUACAAACUUGGGAAACGGCUAUGACAAAUGGUGUGGACACUUUGUGGUACCUAGAAAAGGGGUUUAUGUUUUUAGUUGCUCAGUAAUGGCCACGAAUCCGAAUCACAUAACUGUCGGAAUAAUAAAAAACGGAAAGACUAUUUUGGGAGUCGCAUCUCAAAGAGGUUGGGAAAGUAGUUCAAGAAUUGUGAUACUGUCAAUGGAUAAAGGAGAUAGGGUCUGGGUAAGACGUCUUGCACAUGACCGUAAUAUUAUGGCCAACUACAACUCCUUUUCAGGAUACCUUAUUUCAACAGAAAAAUAAAGGAACUGAGAUUGGUUAUGUUCACAUAUGUAUUUAUUAAAAUAAAAAGACUGAUUCAAUGUC